ACUCCUACGGGAGGCAGCAGUGGGGAAUAUUGCACAAUGGAGGCAACUCUGAUGCAGCAAUGCCGCGUGUGUGAAGAAGGCCUUAGGGUUGUAAAGCACUUUCAGACGUGAGGAAAAGUUAUUUAUUAAUACUAAAUAGCCCUGACGUUAACGUCAGAAGAAGCACCGGCUAACUCCGUGCCAGCAGCCGCGGUAAUACGGAGGGUGCGAGCGUUAAUCGGAAUUACUGGGCGUAAAGCGCGCGUAGGCGGAUAGAUAAGUCAGAUGUGAAAUCCCUGGGCUCAACCUAGGAACUGCAUUUGAAACUGUCUAUCUAGAGUAUGGUAGAGGUGAGUGGAAUUUCAGGUGUAGCGGUGAAAUGCGUAGAGAUCUGAAGGAACAUCAGUGGCGAAGGCGACUCACUGGGCCAUUACUGACGCUGAGGUGCGAAAGCGUGGGUAGCAAACGGGAUUAGAAACCCCAGUAGUCC
rnacentral:rRNA from 1 species